rnacentral:lncRNA from 1 species
GAUCUACUUCAUACCAAGAAUGGAAGCUACAAUUUUAAUUAUGAGUAAAAAGGAAGAAGAAGAAGAAGAAGGUUGAAAUAACAAAUAUACGUGCAUUUUGUCAGGGCCAGACAUCAAACGAGACAAGUGAGGCCCUCACCUUGGGGCCAAACUUAAAAAGAGCCCUUAAAUUCUGGUAUUUAUUUUACUUUGAAAUUUAAAAAACUAAAUGUUUAAAACUAUGAUGUUAGCUAGAUAUCAACAAAGUAUUUAUGAUGAAGUGGUUAAGUUCUAAUACUUUACUCAACGGCAUGUGAGUUUGAUUUCCUAAAUAGUCUUUAGAGAAAAUUACUAGAAAUGUCCACUUUCACAUAUUCAUUUGCAAAAAUGUCCACCAUUGCAAUACUUUCAAAAAUGUCUAUUUUGGAGUAAUUUAGACCAAAGUAUCUUUGUCAACAAUUUAUGAUUCCACACAAAGACAAAAAUGGACAUUUUUGUAAUUAAAACUUUUAUUGACCAAUAAAAUUUUGACACAUAACUUAUCCUAUUUAUUUCAAAAGUGCACACGUCAAAUAACAAUAAAUGUUAUUUUUCUCAUUGACACAAAAAUGUCGAGAACUACAUUUCAAAUGUAGAGAAAUAUUAUGCUUAUGUUUGAUGCCCAUUCUAUAUCCAAUUUUUAGAAAAAUUAUAGACGUUACAUAGUGAAUGUAUCAGGACAAG